CUAGUUGGUAAGGUAAUGGCUUACCAAGGCUAUGACGCUUAACUGGUCUGAGAGGAUGAUCAGUCACACUGGAACUGAGACACGGUCCAGACUCCUACGGGAGGCAGCAGUAGGGAAUAUUGCGCAAUGGGGGAAACCCUGACGCAGCAACGCCGCGUGGAGGAUGACACUUUUCGGAGCGUAAACUCCUUUUCUUAGGGAAGAAUUCUGACGGUACCUAAGGAAUAAGCACCGGCUAACUCCGUGCCAGCAGCCGCGGUAAUACGGAGGGUGCAAGCGUUACUCGGAAUCACUGGGCGUAAAGGGCGCGUAGGCGGAUUAUCAAGUCUCUUGUGAAAUCUAAUGGCUUAACCAUUAAACUGCUUGGGAAACUGAUAGUCUAGAGUGAGGGAGAGGCAGAUGGAAUUGGUGGUGUAGGGGUAAAAUCCGUAGAUAUCACCAAGAAUACCCAUUGCGAAGGCGAUCUGCUGGAACUCAACUGACGCUAAGGCGCGAAAGCGUGGGGAGCAAACAGGAUUAGAUACCCUGGUAGUCCACGCCCUAAACGAUGUACACUAGUUGUUGGGAUGCUAGUCAUCUCAGUAAUGCAGCUAACGCAUUAAGUGUACCGCCUGGGGAGUACGGUCGCAAGAUUAAAACUCAAAGGAAUAGACGGGGACCCGCACAAGCGGUGGAGCAUGUGGUUUAAUUCGAAGAUACGCGAAGAACCUUACCUGGGCUUGAUAUCCUAAGAACCUUAUAGAGAUAUGAGGGUGCUAGCUUGCUAGAACUUAGAGACAGGUGCUGCACGGCUGUCGUCAGCUCGUGUCGUGAGAUGUUGGGUUAAGUCCCGCAACGAGCGCAACCCACGUAUUUAGUUGCUAACGGUUCGGCCGAGCACUCUAAAUAGACUGCCUUCGUAAGGAGGAGGAAGGUGUGGACGACGUCAAGUCAUCAUGGCCCUUAUGCCCAGGGCGACACACGUGCUACAAUGGCAUAUACAAUGAGACGCAAUACCGCGAGGUGGAGCAAAUCUAUAAAAUAUGUCCCAGUUCGGAUUGUUCUCUGCAACUCGAGAGCAUGAAGCCGGAAUCGCUAGUAAUCGUAGAUCAGCCAUGCUACGGUGAAUACGUUCCCGGGUCUUGUACUCACCGCCCGUCACACCAUGGGAGUUGAUUUCACUCGAAGCCGGAAUACUAA
rnacentral:rRNA from 1 species